UACGAAGGGGGCUAGCGUUGCUCGGAAUCACUGGGCGUAAAGCGCACGUAGGCGGCUUUUUAAGUCAGAGGUGAAAUCCUGGAGCUCAACUCCAGAACUGCCUUUGAUACUGGAGAGCUUGAGUCCGGGAGAGGUGAGUGGAACUGCGAGUGUAGAGGUGAAAUCCGUAGAUAUUCGCAAGAACACCAGUGGCGAAGGCGGCUCACUGGCCCGGUACUGACGCUGAGGUGCGAAAGCGUGGGGAGCAAACAGG
rnacentral:rRNA from 1 species